GACGAACGCUGGCGGCGUGCCUAAUACAUGCCAGUUGAGCGAUGAAGAUUGGUGCUUGCACCAAUUUGAAGAGCAGCGAACGGGUGAGUAACGCGUGGGGAAUCUGCCUUUGAGCGGGGGACAACAUUUGGAAACGAAUGCUAAUACCGCAUAACAACUUUAAACAUAAGUUUUAAGUUUGAAAGAUGCAAUUGCAUCACUCAAAGAUGAUCCCGCGUUGUAUUAGCUAGUUGGUGAGGUAAAGGCUCACCAAGGCGAUGAUACAUAGCCGACCUGAGAGGGUGAGCGGCCACAUUGGGACUGAGACACGGCCCAAACUCCUACGGGAGGCAGCAGGAGGGAAUCUUCGGCAACGGACGAAAGUCUGACCGAGCAACGCCGCGUGAGUGAAGAAGGGUUUCGGAUCGUAAAACUCUGUUGGUAGAGAAGAACGUUGGUGAGAGUGGAAAGCUCAUCAAGUGACGGUAACUACCCAGAAAGGGACGGCUAACUACGUG
rnacentral:rRNA from 1 species